UCGUGUCUUAUCACAGAAGUUUCUAUAAAUUAUCAACGGAGUCUUCAAAUAACAAAACCCAAUAAAGGGGUAGACAUUAUACGUAAAUAGAAAAACAAGAACUGCUGGAUAUAGUGAAAAACUCCCGUGAGGAACACAGGCAGUGAGCUGUGGGCGAGUAGCCAGCUGUGAAGUGAGAGGCCGUGGGUUCUCUUGUGUGAUAUAUAUAAUCAAU